AUUUGGGACUAAAUAAAUGGCACUGCUGCACAAUUCAUAUCUUUUCUCCCCUUACACUGGCCCUACUUUGUUGAUUUGUGUAACCUACAGAGCCCCUUGUAGACAUCUCAGUGUGAGACCUCUAUCCCUUUUUCCGAAAAGUUCUCUCCUUCCAUCCAUGAUGGCUGAGUCGAUUCUCAGACUAGUUCCAAUGUAUUCCCUUGAUGUAAUCAUCAGAUCUGUCUUCCCUCGGCACCUUACUAGGGGAUGCUUCCCCUUCUCUACGACUAGGUACAAUUUCCAACCCAGACUUCGAUCCGACAUUUUCAUACAUUCUCCUCAGAUUAUAGUAGUUUACAAAAUCUUAUCAUUUCUGUGUACUUUUCUAGGUCCUAAGAACUGUUUCUCCUGGAAUAACCUGUUGUCACUCCCUGAUCGGAUCUCACUCUCUUACUCAAACUAGAGUGCAGGUGUGGAAUCUUGGCUCAUUGCAACCUCCACCUCUCAGGCUUAAGUGAUUCUCCUGCUUCAGCCUCCUGAGUAGCUAGGAUUACAAGCGCACACGCCACUACCGCCUGGCGAAUUUUUGUAUUUUUAGUGGAGACGGGCUUUCACCAUGUUGACCAUGCUGGUCUUGAACUUCUGACCACAAAUGAUCCACUCUCCUUGGUCCCCUAAAGUGCUGGGAUUACAGGCAUGAGCCACCAUGCCUAAUCCAAUUUAGAUCAUCUUUAAUGUUGCUAAAUAGGGAUUUGUAAUUUUCUCUUUAAUCUCAAAUAGGUUAUUAGGCUUAGGUAUACAUAUGCAUCAAUAUUAUAUAGUACACAUUUAAAAUAUAAAGGUUAUAUGGUGCAUGUGUGUUCUGUAUAUAUUUCUAUAGAUAGAUAUGACAGAGAGGAAGCACAUAUGUACUCAAUAUGUUUACUACUGUAAUUGGUAUAUAUUUUAAGUGUCACAUUCUGUCUGUAGUUGAUAAUAG
rnacentral:lncRNA from 13 species